rnacentral:tRNA from 1 species
GGAGAGAUGGCCGAGCGGCUGAAGGCGACGGUUUGCUAAACCGUUAUACUGGGUAUCACCUGGUAUCGAGGGUUCGAAUCCCUCUCUCUCCG